CAUAUCCAGUGCCACAUUCGAGAAAAGACGCUCUAACGGGUGUCCUUCUCUGCAAAGCUCUUAGGGUUUCGAAAGCCCCCAACUCUGAUUUCAAAUCAAUUCCCAAAACGCACCUUCUACCCAUUAGGGUUCGCCGUUUUCGAUAAUUUUUUCUGGGGGAUUCGUGUAUUCAGAUAAGUCUUAUUGGUUCCUGGGCUCUGAGCGAUCGAUUCGCCAAUGGCUCCGUCUUCGUCAUCGACGCUUGCGAAUCGGGACGCUUCUGCUUCAGCUGCUGAGGACGAAGCCGUCAUGUCCGUGACCCGAGCUUUUGCGCAGGUUGCGUUGCUGCAGUUCCAGCCGGGCAAGUUCGAUCAGCGCCUUACCGCCUUGUCUGAGUGCCUCAAGAGGAAGCCAAACGAUCCCAAAACUUUUCAUAAUAUCGGACUUGCGAAUCGGGAAGGUUGUUCAGACCCUAAGAGGUUGCUUGAUGUGCUUUAUGAUGUCAAGAUUUGAGUUUCAAUAAUGUGCCUCUGCUGGUUGAGGUAUCCAUUUACAAGUGGGGCACUUUUGCUGAAUUCAUAAGGCUUGCGUUCAGUCAACUCUCAUGCCGUCUUUCUCAUUUAGAGACCCUGAAGCUGGAUAUCAGGGGAGCGGUCUACAAUCAGAAUUAUGCGUUUCCCGCGUUAUCAAAUCUAAAGCAUUUGGAAUUAUUAGUGGAUGCCAACUACUGUCUGUCCCUUGGUCGCUUAGCUUCUUUCAUGAAGGCAGCUCCUGACUUGCGCAGCCUUGUUUUGGGGUUGGGUUUCGGAACCUCCAAUGAGGACAUGGCAAUACUAGAGAAAGUUUCCAAACAACCCCAUCACUGCCUCAAGGUGGUAGAAAUAGCAGGGUAUCGAGGUCACAAGUGUUGCGUAAAGCAUGGCAGGUACUUGGGUGAAGAAUGUUGUUGCACUAGAGAAGAUUGUUAUAAAUCCUGUCCGGUUUUGGUGUCAGCCUACGGGAAUCGAGAUCAAUUGCCUACUGGAGAAUGAAGAAGAGAAUGCCAGAGAUCAUGCUAUCCAACACCUCAAGAAAAAAGUGCCCGCCAGUGUAGAAUUUGUGUGCCGGUAGGAGUGCAGCUCCGCAGUGCUUAUUCGGAAGCAGCUACUUGAAUAACUAUUAAUUUUAGUGGCUGCAGAACUUGGUAUGGAAUGAAGAUUUGUAAGACGAUUUUCUCCGGCUUUUAAUUUCUCCUCUUAUUAAUUUUAGUGUUUCUUUAAUUGUCUAUGGUGUUUUGUUCUGGAUGAUCAUGUAAAAUUAUGAUUGAACUGAAUGAAUCCAUUUUUCCAGUAAUUUUACUUUUGAUGAUUUGUAAAUUUGGUGACCAAAUAAUGGAGAGCUGCUCUCUUGAACUCAACUUGAUUUGA